UAGUUAUGGUUAAUACUGGACAAGUCUACACUUAAGAAUGGUAAGUUCUGAUAAUGGAUGAUGCCGUAGCUUAUUGCUUAUCUGGAUUGGUAUUAGUUGCCUUUCAGAACUGGGAUUUCCUUAGUAACCUAUUUUUCCAUCCCUUACCCUGUGAAGGUUGUAUGCUUUUGAUGUAAACGGCAACUCUUUCUUCCCCAUGUUUGCGCUGCUUUAUGGUUAGUACAAAGUCAAAAUGCAUUCCUUAUUGAAUAAGCUUUUUCAUAAUACACACUGAACUUCUAUUCACAUUGUUUUUCUUAGAGACAGCUGUACAUUAUUUUCCGUCGCCUCUUCUGGUAAGCUCAUGGUUUUGUUCCUGUUUUGCUGUCAAAUUUGCAUUUCCUACUAUCAUUACCUCAAUUUUCUAGGCUAUGAUGGUAAUACGAGUUUUACUGGAAAUAGUGUCUUUUUUUCUUAUUCAAAGCCAUUCUAAGGAAUUUUACAUAGAAAAUUGAGAAACAUAUGAAAGUGGCUUGUGUUUAAAAGAAAACUCUUAUUGUCAAAAUUUACUGAUUUUCUCGUCCGCUAUGCAGUAUUGCCACUAUUGGAGAGAACAACAUUUUUUCUGUAUCCAAUUUGUUUUGUCAUUGUCAUAUCUCCUAUCUGUAAGUAUUUACUAUACCUGUUUGUUAUGCAACAUUUAUUGCCAUAUAGAUGAAUAUUUAUAUCUUACAGUGAUUUUGAGCAGCUGCAACCCAUCAAGAUACCUUAUGAACAUGUACUUCAGUCGAUUGCUAUAGAUGCUGCUAACAGGCACUUUAGAUGACGUAUAUGAUGAUCGAAGGAAAUUCCUCAAAAUACUCUAAAGAACACAAGACAGUUAAUGUAUUCAUUUACGCGUGAGGAAGACGACCGGCGUGACCCAGGAAAGAUUCAGUCAGUCCAGUGGGGCCUUUCUUUAUUUGACCGAAAAUGAGUUAGUUUUGCCGUACUGAGAAAUUAGAUUAGUGAAAUCGUUACAUAUGGGUUUUGCGUCUUAUUUCCGUCAUCUGCUUGAGACAAUUAUUUGUGACACCUUAUGAUGGGAAGUAGUGAAUUCCCUUGCAAUGCUGCUGUUUUAAGCAAUGUUGAUAAUAUAGGAUACUUGUCAAACAACAGAAAUUUCUCUUUUGUUCCCCAAAAUUUUUUCUUUUGUGAAUUUUCAUUUUUAC
rnacentral:lncRNA from 1 species